UCGAGAAUCUUCCGCAAUGGACGAAAGUCUGACGGAGCGACGCCGCGUGUGGGAUGAAGGCCUUCGGGUUGUAAACCGCUGUCAGUUGGGAGGAAAUCCAUGGGGGUUAUCCCCCAUGGUUGACCUAUCUUCAGAGGAAGGGCGGGCUAAGUUCGUGCCAGCAGCCGCGGUAAGACGAACCGCCCGAACGUUAUUCGGAAUCACUGGGCUUAAAGGGUGCGUAGGCGGCUUGGCAAGUUGGGUGUGAAAGCCCUCGGCUCAACCGAGGAACUGCGCUCAAAACUGCCAGGCUAGAGGGAGAUAGAGGUGAGCGGAACUAAUGGUGGAGCGGUGAAAUGCGUUGAUAUCAUUAGGAACACCUGUGGCGAAAGCGGCUCACUGGGUCUCUUCUGACGCUGAGGCACGAAAGCUAGGGUAGCGAACGGGAUUAGAUACCCCCGUAGUCC
rnacentral:rRNA from 1 species